rnacentral:lncRNA from 1 species
AAAUCUGACCCAGCAAUUAUGACUCCACAGUAGGCUCAGCCUCAUCUCUACAGCACAUCCCCAGGCACCAGGUGCAGGAGGAUCCUAGAGUGUCCCUCGCUGGUUAAAGAUCCCCCCCUUUCAAGUAAUGUGGCAAAAAGGAGCGACGUAAGGCUCAGAAACAGGAUGUGACCCACGGGAUCUGGAAGUCAUGGGGCUGCAGUGUGAGUCCAGAUACACAAGCAUUUCUAAUCCUGCUCUACAAGACACCUCCCUUCCUUAACUGUAUCAUCUAUACAAAUGAGGUGCCACUGAUGGCUUCCAAGUUUCCACAGGCUGGCCACUAAAACGCAGACUUCGUCCCUCUGAAGGUAAGUCCAGUAAGAAAGAUACGAUUUGCACACACCCAAAAGAAAUUUUUGCCACAUAGCUGAAUUGGGUGGGAAGUAAGUGCCUUUAUACUAACCUUUGCUGGGAGCCAUCAGUCCUCCUCAUGCUGAGCAGGCUCUGCCCAGAGCCUGGAGGCACUGAAGAGCAAGCAAGAUGGGCAGUGAGUACUGCUGGUUGCCUGUGAAAGGGGAUGGCAGGUGCAGCUCUGCUGACUCCCUCGGAGGCCCUGCCAUUGCUUGUAGCUCAGGCAGGGCAGCUUCCUACC